GUGCAUUAACAAUUAUCAUUAUUUUUAUUAAACUCUAGUCUCUUUAUUUUUCCUCAAAAUGGAUCACCAUUCAAAUUGUUAGCAUUGGGUAAACUCAUUGUUUUUAGUUUCACGAUUUUUAAUUAGAAACGUUCCAAAUGGUUGAUUUUUUCCGGCAAAGGGUUAAACGACCAUAAGAGUUUUUUUUUUUUUUGGUCAACGACCAUAAGAGUUAAUGAAAGCAAUGUAAACUAAACAUACUAUUAGGCAUUCAUAUGUCAAUAAUUGUUUUCGUAUAUUGAAUUUGAGAAGCGCAUAAGACCAGAGGUUAUCGCAGCAAAUGAGAUAGGUUCAUUAGAUGAAACCAAAGAAUCACUUCAAGAGUCCUGCUUCCUCUUUGGACCACCUGGUACCGGGAAAACGAUGAUUGCAAAAGCCAUUGCAAACGAAGCUGGAGCUAGUUUUAUAAACGUGUCCAUGUUCACAAUCACUUCAAAAUGGUUUGGAGAAGAUGAGAAGAAUGUGAGAGCUUUGUUCACCUUAGCAGCCAAAGUGUCUGCAACUAUUAUAUUUGUGGAUGAAGUGGAUAGCAUGUUGGGGCAGAGGACAAGAGUUGGAGAGCAUGAAGCUAUGAGUAAGAUUAAAAACGAGUUCAUGACACAUUGGGAUGGGCUUAUGUCGAAUUAAGGUGAUCGGAUUCUUGUUCUUGCAGCAACAAAUAGGCCGAUAUAGAUGAAGCCAUCAUUAGGAGGUCUGAGAGAAGAAUCAUGGUUGGUCUUCCACCGGUUGAGAGCGGAGAGAAGAUCUUGAGAACUUUAUUUUCAAAAGAGCAAACAGAGAACCUUGAUUCUUGCGCAGAUGACAGAUGGUUAUAGUGGAAGUGAUCUAAAGAACUUUUGUACAACAGCUGCAUAUCGACCGGUGAGGGAGCUGAUAAAGCAUUGAGUGCUUGAAAAGGAGAGGAAGCAGAGAAGAGUAGUGAAGAGGGGUUUGAAGCAAAAGAAGAAGCAACAGAGGAGAGUCAUAACGUUGAGAGCUCUGAGCAUGGAAGACAUGAGAAUAGCUAAAAGCCAGGUUGCUGCUAGUUCUGCAGGAGCAGGGAUGAAUGAACUGAAGCAGUAAGGAGGCUCCAGGAAGAAGGAACAGCUUUUUCUUCUUAUUUCCUCUAAUACACCAAUCUUCUCCUAUUUACAUCUUCAACAAAAGUUUUCAUGUAUAUGAAUCACUGAUUAGUAUUGUCAUAUGAAACAUUAAUUCCAGAGAUUUUGUAAAUAAAACAUUAAUUUCAUUGAACGAAGAUUAGG